GGAAGUUCUUUUGAUGUGGACUCUAAAAUCAAAGUAAAAGGCCUACUACCAUAAGCAAAACAUGGAGGACAUCAGGCCAAAGGCUUCUUGCACUAAUUUAAUAAAUAGAAAUGAAACGGACAUAAGGGAUAGAUUUGAUAGCACAACUACUGAUAUAUCAGAUGAAAUUAUUAAAUAUAAACUGCAAACGGAAACAAGAUGAUAAUUAGGCAG
rnacentral:lncRNA from 1 species